AAACCUAGUCGUGACGUCAAAAACAAAGAGAAAAAUAAGUAUAAGCGCCGCCAAGCUCUGCAAAGAGAUCGAGAAAAGAGCCACUUUGGUGAAACACUAUAGUUGUGUUGGAUUCAGAGGACAGAAUCUCCUGUCACACUGAUGGGUUUCGAAGAUCAGAUUCAGCUGUUAGAUUGAUUCUCCAUCUUGUAUCCCACUGAAAGAAAACUAGGUAUAUGGUUGUGUGAUGAAGAAAUUACAAAAGACAUCAUUGAUGUUUGAGGAUAUAUGUCGAAAGUGAAGUUUUUAGCAAACUAUGUUGAAAGAGCAUUGUGAAGCACAUUAAAGAGCGUUCAUCACUUUUGCACUUGUAAUUUUCUCGGAUCAUUGUAUUUGUACCUUUUAGUGUAGUCUUCUGUUGUUGUAAUUUCAUUAUUAAUAGGAAAAAUUAUCUUAUGUUCAUUAUUGAUACCUUUCACUGUCUAAUCAAAUAAUCAGUUUCGUUGCUACU
rnacentral:misc_RNA from 1 species